rnacentral:tRNA from 1 species
GCCACCUUAGCUCAGUGGUAGAGCGAUGCUUUCGUAAAGCAUAGGUCGAGAGUUCAACCCUCUCAGGUGGCU